rnacentral:rRNA from 1 species
GAUGAACGCUGGCGGCGUGCCUAAUACAUGCAAGUCGAGCGAACAGACGAGGAGCUUGCUCCUCUGACGUUAGCGGCGGACGGGUGAGUAACACGUGGAUAACCUACCUAUAAGACUGGGAUAACUUCGGGAAACCGGAGCUAAUACCGGAUAAUAUAUUGAACCGCAUGGUUCAAUAGUGAAAGACGGUUUUGCUGUCACUUAUAGAUGGAUCCGCGCCGCAUUAGCUAGUUGGUAAGGUAACGGCUUACCAAGGCAACGAUGCGUAGCCGACCUGAGAGGGGGGUGGGCCACAGGGGAAGGGAGACGCGGCCAAGCCUCCGGGGGGAGGAGGCAGAGGGGAAUCUUCGGCAAGGGGGGAAAGUUUGAGGGAACACCGCGGGGGGGGGGAUAAGGGUCUUGGUAUCGAAAAACUGUUUUAUGGGGAAAAAAAAAAUGGGAAAUAACCUAUCCCCGUUUGGACGGUACCUAACAAAAAGGCCACGGCAAACUAGGGG